rnacentral:rRNA from 1 species
GUCCACGGCCAUACCACCCUGAAUGCGCCUGAUCUCGUCUGAUCUCAGAAGCUAAGCAGGGUUGGGCCUGGUUAGUACUUGGAUGGGAGAAACACAAACAGUCCGUGAACA